GGCAGAAGGGACGUCCCCAAAUGACACUCGGAGGCCGCCUCCCUGGGCUCCGGUGCUCGGUGCCGGGAGGAGCGGCACGGCUUUCUACCCCGCCUCAGGUGCGCCAGCACGUUUUCUGGGCAGCAUCUGUGUGUUAGGCGACCGGAGAGGUGGGUUCCUUAUAGGGAAUAAGAAAACUGAAACUGACUUCCAACUGCAGGCAGAAGGAAGCAGUGGUCAUUGCUGGAGGUUAAAACUGUUCUGACCGGGCGCAGUGGCUCACGCCUGUAUUCCCAGCACUUUGGGAGGCUGAGGCGAGCAGAUCACGAAGUCAGGAGAUCAAGACCAUCCUGGCCAACAAGGUGAAACCCCGGCUCUACUAAAAAUACAAAAAUUAGCUGGGCGUGGUGGCGCGCGCCGGAAGUCCCAGCUACUUGGGAGGAUGAGGCAGAAGAAUCGCUUGAACCCGGGAGGCGGAGGUUGCGGUGAGCCGAGAUCGCGCCAUUGCACUCCAGCCUGGCGACUCAGCGAUACUCCGUCCCCCUCUCCCCGCCCCAAGAAAAAUCUGUUCAGUGGGGAGCGACAAGGAAGGAGCUUUCAGCCCGACUGGGGUCGCAGGGAAGAAUUCAAGAUGGCGUGUUUAGGAGCUCUAGCUCCUUGACAAAUUAGUAAAAUGUUAGUCUUAGGAGAAGAACGAAAAGGCUCUCCUAGGCUAAGAAACAGCAUACACAGUGAGAAACCUCAGAAGAAAUAAAAUUCAAGGAAGAUAGCAACAACGAAAACAUCAGAAGGAACACUAAAGUAGUCAAAUCAGCCUAGCAGAAACAAAGUACGUUAACCAAUGGAAAACUGACGGAGAGAAAUAAACUGUUUUUGCACAGCUAAAUGGAAAUGACUUUUGAAUUAUCUGCUUUGGAAGAUUAUCCAUGACACUGUUCUGCCCUGCUCUGCUCUAACAACAUUUGUAAGUCACUCAACAGUUAAUAAUAAAAGUCAGUUUUGAAUAUUGCAGGUUUUAGACACAGAACAAAUGUAAUGUGACACUGUAGGAAGAAUGAAUUCUCCUUAGUCCCAAAUUCCUUUUUUUUUUCUUAGAUUCGGGAAUAAGUAAAGAUACAAGAUCCUCUUAACCAGUAUCAGUAUAAUUGUUCCCUUUAGAUUUAUUGCUGUCACCCCAAUGCUCUUCUUUCUUUCUAGAGGAAAGGAAAAGAAGGAGGUAAUAGGAAAAGUAAUGGGUUGUCCUGAUGUUACUGUGUCUAGGAUGUCAUUGCCACUGGUCUCCUCAGAUCAAUCAUUCUGCCUAAUAAACAGAAAAAUAACAUGGGCAGCCUCACAUGCAAGCCUUUACACACACUGCUAAAGAGACCUCGCUUCCUCUGAGAAGUGAGGAUGUGAGAAUGAAGGAUUGAUUUUACAGAACUGGAUGACAGGUUAAAUUGGGCAUCUGGAGGUUUAUAUUCCCAUCUCCACUCACCAAGUUUCAUCCUCCAUUUAUGACCAAGGAUAGGUAUAACAUCUGAUCUUGAUGGUUACUGUUUCAAAAAACAAUCUGAUCUUUUUUAUAAAGUUAAACAUUUACUUAAUCAUGCAGCAUACUAAUUCCCACUCCUGGGUAUUUAUCCGAGUGACAUAAAAACAAGUUCACACAAAACCUGUAAACACAUAUAUGUCUUUAUUCAUAUAAUAGAAAAAACACAAACCCUAAAAUGGAAAAAACAUAAUGUCCUUCACCUGGUGAUAUGGUUUGGUUCUGUGUCCCCACCCAAAUCUCAUCUCAAAUUGUAAUACCCACGUGUUGAAGGAAGGACCUAUAACCUUCACGUGUCAAGGGAGGGAAGUGAUUGGAUGAUGGGGGCGGUUUCCCCCAUGCUGUUCUUGUGAUGGUGCAUGAAUUCUCACCAGAGAUGAUGGUUUUAAAAGUGUUUGGCAGUUCUUCCUUCAUUCACACACACUCACUGUCUCUCCCCUGUGCCACAUAAGAUGAGCUUGCUUCCCUUCUACCAUAACUGUAAGUUUCUGAAGUCCUCCCCAGCCAUGCAGAACUAUAAGUAAAUUAAACCUCUUUUCUUUAUAAAUUACCUAGUCUCAGGUAUGUCUUUAUAGCAGUGUGAAAAUAGGCUAAUACAUCUGGUGAAUCAAUAAUUAAAAUGUAGCAUAGCUAUAAAUGGAAUACUACUCAGUAAUAAAAGAAUAACUCGAUACAUACAAUAAUAUUGAUGAAUCUCAAAUGCAUUAUGGGAAGUAAAAGAAGCCAGGCUCCACUUAUGUGACAUUCUGGAAAAAGGAAGACUAUACGGUCAGAAAACAGAUCAGUGUUUGCCAGGACUUGGGGGUGGGGGGUGGGGAGUGAUUGACUACAAAAGGGCAUGAAGAAAUUUUGAAGGGGAGGUAUGGAACAGGUCUGUAUCUUGACUGCAGUGGAGUUAUUGAUACUUACCAAACUGUACAAUAAAAAGUAAAUUUUUAUUGUAUGAAAAUUAUGCCUAAAUUAAAAACUAUUAAUAAAAUCAGCAUUAGCAAAAUAUAUGAGUUUAUACACAAGAGACUACUCAACCAUUGGGUAAACUAAUUAUUUUUAAACAAAUACCAUUGAUUUUAAUCUUUUUAUAGUUUUUAUACAGGCAGAGAAAUAAUAGUGAUUCUGCUCACCUAAAGGAAGAUAGACCCAAUUCAAAGGUACAGAAUUUUCCCCAAAUAGUAUCAUAAUUUUUCCUUUCAGAUUCCAAAGGAUUUGCAUGUAAAUUCUAUCAUGUGAUCCUCAGAACCACCCUAUGAGGGUAAGCAGAACAGAUGAUCCAUGAUAUUCCAUUUUAUAAAUGAGGUGCAGGUUAAAUAUUUAGCCAGUAUUUCUUGAUAAGUAUAGUCCAUUUAUUUCAACAAACCUUGAUUGAGGGCCCCAAUACUUGUUGAGCUUUUGCUGAGCCACCCCUGCUCUAGAGGAGCACAUGCUCUGGAAAUCUCUAAGGAAACUACUACAACUCUAAAUAGAUAUGGUGUAUAGUGAUACUGUGACUAAAUAUUCACUGCAAAUUUCCUCUAAAAUUAUAGAUAUACAUUACUGGAAUAAUUAGUAUCUCAACAUCUUCAUUAACUAUGAAUCUACUAUGUAUAUAUCAUCACCAUGUGAGUAUUAAUUUGGUACAAAUAGGCUGCCAACUCUAAAAUUAUUUGAUGUAGGGCAAGUACUUUUAUCUUUUUAGCCAUAAAUUUUCUCAUCUGUAAAAUGAGAGGAGUAGGCAUGUGAUCAUUAAAUCCUGGGUUACGGUAGGAGGCAUCAAUAUGAAAUGUUUAGCUUAAUAUAGAUACAGAUGGGUAAAUAUAGAAAUACUUAAAAAUGCAUGUGGAUUCAUGUUUAAUACAUUAGUAUACACACAUAUAUUUCCAAGUUCUGUCCUCCGAAGGCCUAGAAGCAAUGACAAGCAGAAGCAAGGAGCACACCCAGCAUCCAGUUUUUUGUUUCUAAUACUGUUCUCCAACAAAGGGAACCAGAGCCCUUGAGAAAAAUGCCUAAUUCUAGGACUGGGGCAGGGGAUAUACAAGAUGAGUCUGAAACAUCUUAUAGUGCCAGAAAAUAAACAAGUGCUUUAAAAAGACACAAAAAACUGAUGGUAUAUCAAAGUGACAUAGGAGCCAACUAAAAGAGCUCCCAAUAGCUAAAGCUAGAAUAAUUCAAAAAAUAAGUAAUUCAGCAUUGGAUUUAACCCAAAUUAUAAAAUAAGAUCCAUGAGUUCAUACUGAUACAAGUAAAUGAUUGAAGAAACAAAUAAUUGGGAGAUAAUUCUCAUAUUGAAAAAUUCCAAAAAAUUUAUGUACUCUACCCUCGAGAAGAUGGAACAUAAUUCUCCACCCCAUAAGCAUGAGUCAAGCCUAGUAAAUGUUUUUCAAAGAGCGCAGUAUGGAAAGGAGGAAGAACACUACCUCAACCAGCUGAUCAAGGCUAACAUCUCUAGUAUGUCAUUAGUGGCAUGUAACCUUGAUAUGAUAUGAUGAGAAUAGCAUUUGAUCUUUGAUCUGUUUCCUCCCCGAAACUCAUUGCCCCAGCCUAAUCAUGAAGAAAUAUCAGACAAUCUCAAAUUAAGUACAAAAUAACCAGUACUCUUCAGAACUAUCAAGGCCACCAAAAACAAGGAAAGUAUAAGAAACUGUCACAGUCUAGAAGAGCCUGGUGAUGACUAAAUGUAAUGUGAUAUCCUGGAUGGGAUCCCAGGACAGAAAAAGAACAUUAGGUUAAACUAAAUCAAACUUGAGUAUGAAACUUCUUUUUUUUUAAGUGCCUAAGUCCUGAAUGACAACAAAAGACUGAAGAACUGACAACGAUUAGAGGACACUAAGGAGACUUAACAACUAAAUGCAAAAUGGGACCCUGAAUCUGAUCCUGGAACACAAAAACUAAAUUAGUAGAAAAGUGGUAAAAUAGGUGGUCGCGCGCCCGACCGCCGCAGUCCCAGUCGAGCCGCGACCCUUCCGGCUGCCCCCACCCCACCUCGCCGCCAUGUGCCUCCGCCGCCCAGCGCUGUUCCCGGGCGUGGCGCUGCUUCUCGCCGCGGCCCGCCUCGCGGCUGCCUCCGACGUGCUAGGACUCAGGGACGACAACUUGGAGAGUCGCAUCUCCGACACGGGCUCUGCGGGCCUCAUGCUCGUCGAGUUCUUCGCCCCCUGGCUGAUUGCACUGCCAACACUAACACCUGUAAUAAAUAUGGAGUCAGUGGAUAUCCAACCCUGAAUAUGUUUAGAGAUGGUGAAGAAGCAGGUGCUUAUGAUGGACCUAGGACUGCUGAUGGAAUUGUCAGCCACCUGAAGAAGCAGGCAGGCCCAGCUUCAGUGCCUCUCAGGACUGAGGAAGAAUUUAAGAAAUUCAUUAGUGAUAAAGAUGCCUCUAUAGUAGGUUUUUUCGAUGAUUCAUUCAGUGAAGCUCACUCCGAGUUCCUAAAAGCAGCCAGCAACUUGAGGGAUAACUACCGAUUUGCACAUACGAAUGUUGAGUCUCUGGUGAACGAGUAUGAUGAUAACGGAGAUGGUAUCAUCUUAUUUCGUCCUUCACAUCUCACUAACAAGUUGGAGGACAAGACUGUGGCAUAUACAGUGCAAAAAAUGACCAGUGGCAAAAUUAAAAAGUUUAUCCAGGAAAACAUUUUUGGUAUCUGCCCUCACAUGACAGAAGACAAUAAAGAUUUGAUACAGGGCAAGGACUUACUUAUUGCUUACUAUGAUGUGGACUAUGAAAAGAAUGCUAAAGGUUCCAACUACUGGAGAAACAGGGUAAUGAUGGUGGCAAAGAAAUUCCUGGAUGCUGGGCACAAACUCAACUUUGCUGUAGCUAGCCGCAAAACCUUUAGCCAUGAACUUUCUGAUUUUGGCUUGGAGAGCACUGCUGGAGAGAUUCCUGUUGUUGCUAUCAGAACUGCUAAAGGAGAGAAGUUUGUCAUGCAGGAGGAUUUCUCGCGUGAUGGGAAUGCUCUGGAGAGGUUCCUGCAGGAUUACUUUGAUGGCAAUCUGAAGAGAUACCUGAAGUCUGAACCUAUCCCAGAGAGCAAUGAUGGGCCUGUGAAGCUCAGCAAAGACCUGAAUAUCGUCAUAGCCAAGAUGGAUGCCACAGCCAAUGAUGUGCCUUCUCCAUAUGAAGUCAGAGUUUUCCUACCAUAUACUUCUCUCCAGCCAACAAGAAGCUAAAUCCAAAGAAAUAUGAAGGUGGCCAUGAAUUAAGUGAUUUUAUUAGCUAUCUACAACGAGAAGCUACAAACCCCCCUGUAAUUCAAGAAGAAAAACCCAAGAAGAAGAAGGCACAGGAGGAUCUCUAAAGCAGUAGGCAAACACCACUUUGUAAAAGGACUCUUCCACCAGAGAUGGGAAAACCACUGGGGAGGACUAGGACCCAUAUGGGAAUUAUUACGUCUCAGGGCCGAGAGGACAGAAUGGAUAUAAUCUGAAUCCUGUUAAAUUUUCUCUAAGCCAUUUCUUAGCUGCACUGUUAUGGAAAUACCAGGACCAGUUUAUGUUUGUGGUUUUGGGAAAAAUUAUUGGUGUUGGGGGAAAUGUUGUGGGAGUCGGGUUGAGUUGGGGGUAUUUUCUAAUUUUUUUGUGCAUUUGGAACAGUGACAAUAAAUAAGACCCCUUUAAACUGUAAAAAAAAAAAAAAUAGGAAUGCGGUCCAUGGUUUACUUAAUCGUAUAAUAUCAGUGUUCAUUUUCUUAUUUUGAUAAUUGUCAUAAUGUUGUGUGAAAUAUUCUCUUUAGGGAGCCUGGGAAAGAAUAUAUAAGAACUCUACUAUUUUUGUAACUUUUGUGGAGGACUGCAAUCAUUUCUAAAUAAAUAGUCUUAAAAAUAACUAAAGUAAUAAAAAUAAUAAAGUACAUGAGGAAGUCCAGUGUCAUGUUGUAUAGUCAGAAGAUUCUUCAAAUGAGAGAAUUUGCACCCAGGGAAAUAG
rnacentral:lncRNA from 1 species